ensembl:lncRNA
GAAAUAGACAGUGGGAGAGAGAGCAGGAGAGAGAGAGAGACAGGACCAACACACUGGACAGCAAACAGGAGAGAGAGAAAUAGACAGUGGGAGAGAGAGAGAGAGAGAGAGAGAGAGAGACAGGACCAACACACUGGACAGCAAACAGGUGAGAGAGAGCGGGAGAGAGAGAGAUAGACAGGACCAACACACUGGACAGCAAACAGGUGAGAGAGAGCAGGAGAGAGAGAGGUAGACAGUGGGAGAGGGAGAGAGAGACAGGACCAACACACUGGACAGCAAACAGGUGAGAGAGAGCAGGAGAGAGAGAGAUAGACAGUGGGAGAGAGAGAGAGAGAGAGAGACAGGACCAACACACUGGACAGCAAACGGGUGAGAGA